AAUUUUGGACAAUGGGGGAAACCCUGAUCCAGCCAUCUCGCGUGUAUGAUGAAGGCCUUCUGGUGGUAAAGUACUUUUGGCAGAGAAGAAAAGGUAUCUCCUAAUACGAGAUACUGCUGACGGUAGCUGCAGAAUAAGCACCGGCUAACUACGCGCCAGCAGCCGCGGUAAUACGUAGGGUGCAAGCGUUAAUCGGAAUUACGGGGCGUAAAGAGUGUGUAGGCGGUUCGGAAAGAAAGAUGUGAAAACCCAGGGCUCAACCUUGGAACUGCAUUUUUAACUGCCGAGCUAGAGUAUGUCAGAGGGGGGUAGAAUUACACGUGUAGCAGUGGAAUGCGUAGAUAUGUGGAGGAAUACCGAUGGCGAAGGCAGCCCCCUGGGAUAAUACUGACGCUCAGACACGAAAGCGUGGGGAGCAAACAG
rnacentral:rRNA from 1 species